GAUGAACGCUGGCGGCGUGCCUAAUACAUGCAAGUCGAGCGAACAGACGCGGAGCUUGCUCCUCUGACGUUAGCGGCGGACGGGUGAGUAACACGUGGAUAACCUCCCUAUAAGACUGGGAUAACUUCGGGAAACGGGAUCUAAUACCGGAUAAUAUAUUGAACCGCAUGGUGCAAUAGUGAAAGACGGUUUUGCUGUCACUUAUAGAUGGAUCCGCGCCGCAUUGGCUAGUUGGUAAGGUAACGGGUUACCAAGGGGACGAUGCGUAGCCGAGCUGCGAGGGUGAUCGCCCACACUGGAGCUGGACCACGGUCCAUACUCCUACGGGAGGGAGCAGUAUGGAAUCUUCCGCAGUGGGCGGAAGCCUUACGCAGCAACGCCGCGUGAGUGAUGAAGGUCUUCCGAUCGUAAAACUCUGUUAUUAGUGAAGAACAAAUGUGGAAGUAACUAUGCACGUCUUGACGGUACCUAAUCAGAAAGCCACGGCUAACUACGUG
rnacentral:rRNA from 1 species